GAUGAACGCUAGCGGCAGGCCUAAUACAUGCAAGUCGAGGGGUAACGCGGUAGCAAUACUGGCGACGACCGGCGCACGGGUGCGUAACGCGUAUGCAAUUUGCCCAUAACAAGGGGAUAGCCCGGAGAAAUCCGGAUUAAUACCCUAUAAUAUAUUGAGUAGGCAUCUAUUUAAUAUUAAAGAUUUAUCGGUUAUGGAUGAGCAUGCGUCUGAUUAGCUAGNGGUAAGGUAAUGGCUUACCAAGGCUACGAUCAGUAGGGGGUCUGAGAGGAUGAUCCCCCACACUGGUACUGAGAUACGGACCAGACUCCUACGGGAGCAGCAGUAGGGAAUAUUGGGCAAUGGACGAGAGUCUGACCCAGCCAUGCCGCGUGUAGGAAGAAGGCUUUCUGAGUUGUAAACUUACUUUUGAUUGGGAAACAAAAGAUCCUUGCGAGGANCAUUGAGUGUACCAAUAGAAUAAGCA
rnacentral:rRNA from 1 species